UUCUCCUGCCUCAGCUUUCCGAGUGACUGGGAUUACAGAGAGUUAAGAUUCAUCACACAAUAUUGUGAGAAAACAAGUGGAAGAAACAGUGGGAAAAUCCGAAUGCCAGAGCCAGAGGGGAUCUGAGAUGACAUGUGUCGGCCAUUCCUGGAGAACACGUUCAUGAGAGGGCUGGAAACGGAGCUGCAGUGAGCGUUUGUGUGUGCACAGGCAGGACAUAAGACCAAAAGAGGGAGAAAUACCAUCAACAGAGGAGUGACAUGGCACCAGAAAGGAGGCUAAAUCAUAGUUUUAAGAGAUUGGCUACUAUUCUCCAUUUGUUGAAAAUGAUGUAUUGUAUACCUGCACUUGCAUCUUGGGAGAGAAGAGGAGCCAUGAAAAUGUGAAAGCUUAGAGGCUGCAAUAAUUAACGUGGUAACCAAACUCAUUAGAAAUUCAGUUAACUAAUGUUGCACAAAAUCCUUAUAAUCCAUUACAGAAAUUAAAAAGUUAAAUUCAGUCAGUAAACUGGCUAUCAAAUAAAUGGACCAGUUAAAGAAUA